rnacentral:lncRNA from 1 species
UUGUGGAGAGAUCCAUGCUCAGCACUGAGUUUGAGCCAUCUGAGAGCUGGGAGGUCAAAGCUGGUAACAGUUUUGAUUCUACCAGCUUGAGGGAUGUAGAUGUCAGGUGAUGAAGAUGAGUCAAUGUUCUGGUGAAGUCUUGCAGUGCAAAUGGUUUCCUCAAACCCAUUGUCUCUUUGGCUUCUGCUUCCACCUCUGCUGUGGCGGCGUGGCUGUCUCUUUUCUUCUUCAUCUUCAUCUUCAUCUUGUCUGCUGUGGCGGCGUGGCCGUCUCUUUUCAUCUUCAUCUUCAUCUUGUCUGCUGUGGCGGUGUGGCUGUCUCUUUUCAUCUUCGUCUUCGUCUUCAUCUUCUUCUUGUCUGCUGCCUCUUUGGUGACGUGGCUGCUUCUCUGAUGGGCUUAUGAAGCUGAGACCUCCUUUAACUUUGACAAUGGCUCCCUUCUCCUCAUCUUCGUCCCUGCCUUGAAGUUUGUCCACUAUAUGCCUGUUCACGUUCAAGGCGUCUUCCAAGAAAUCCCUCCUAAAGCCACUGAAAAUGUUGUUUCCUUCAUUUUCUUGUUCUUCCUUUCGUCCUUCUUGUUGUUGAUAUUGUAGAAACUCUUGUUCUUGGUUCCCAGCAAGGUAGAAUCUCUGUCAAGUAUUGUCAACAAUAAAAAAACAAACAGUUGUCAAUAAGUUAGUGUUAGAUGGCACUUAGAAACUCUCACUUAUGGUAGGUAGGUAGCUGACCCUAGGCAUUUGAUCAAGCUGGUUUUGGAAGCUGCUGGUGUCAAUAAGAGAAACAGCAAUAACUGGAGUGUCUUGGUCAUUGUACAUCCAGAAAACAACACCGGUAGGAACUGCAAUGAUAUCACCCUCUCUGAAACGGUUAACCUUUUGGUGACUGUCUCUGAAUCUGCGGCCCUCUCUUUGUUCAGAUUCCCGUGGCUCCAUAAAGGUCUCAGGACAACCAGGGAAUACCAUGCCAAAAUAUCCAUUACCUGUAACAUGGUAUACAUCAUAAUUAACUACUAUUAGUACUAUAUAACAUUAAUUAGUGGCAUUGUUAAUACUAUGUAACUAAAGAAGUUGGAAAUUAAUGGAAUAAGAUCAAAGAAAGUAACCUUGUUGGAUGAAAAUUUCCUGGGGAGCGUUGGUGUAGAAAGGUCUGCGAAGGGCAUUGCGUUGAAGGGUAGCACGAGAGAGGGCAACACCAGCACAUCGGAAUUGUCUGUUGUUUGGGUUCCAAGUCUCAAUAAGUCCACCUUCUGACUCUAUACGGUUAUCGGGUUCAAGGGCAUUGAGGUGUUCAAGCUGGCACUCAUUUUGCUGAGGCUGUUCUCUAAAAGCAAAACAGCCACCAAAAAGUAGAAAACAAAGUGAAAGAGAGAGCGCAAGAAGCUUAGCCAUUGGAGAGAGAGAAUAAUAUAUUUUGGUUUGUGAUGCGGAAAACCUUAAUAACAACUGUUACUUUAUAGGGAAGAGAGGAGUGUGGAGGAGGGACACGUUAGAGAAGGUGGAUUGUUGAACAUUAGACAUUCUUCAUCUUGCAUGGCUAUGGAAGUCUUGUGCAUUACACCUCAAAAUGUCUCAUACUGCAGGUGGCUUCAUUUCAACAUGUUCCAUAACCAAACAAAAUUAUAAGAGAGCAAGCUUGUUUGUAUAUUGCAAUUGCUUCGCAGCAGCAAAUAGCUUGCUGUAAUUAAUUUUUUUUUCUUCUUCUAUAUGCUGUUUUCUUUAAUUUCACGCAGGUGAUAAUUGAUUGCAUUUGUAGUAUUUAGAUAUAUAUCUACUCGAUUCACUUUUAAGUUAUUGUCCGUACAUUAGUGUUGGAUAUAUAGCACUGAGUUUGACAUGUAAAAAAAAACAGAUGGAUAGAUAUUAUGUAUGUAGCCUUUGAGUGAGAGACAUGUAAUAACAUAUGGAUAUAUAGAUAAUAGAUGUUUACGUGGCUAUUAAAUCAAUAUAUAUCCUAUCCUAAUUACUUACACCUCUGUUGUUGCGGCUUUGAGUAAUAGUUUGCAUGCAUCUGAUAGGCAAAAUAUAAUGUGGUAUUUUAAGUUAUUUAUAUUAAUUCUUAAGUUUGUUUUGUCUUAGAUAGUACUUUUAAGUCUUAAUAUAUGAAUGAUGUCCAUUUUUAUGAGAUUCCAUUUUAACUACAUUAAAAAAUUGUUCAGGUUAUUGUUUCGAUUUUGAUGGGAGGAUUAUGUGCUUACGUGGCAUGACUCAUUAUUUUAUAGUAUUUAUUUUGUUUAACAAAUGUCAAAUUUAAACAGUUUUGUCAAACAAAGCUUCAUGAAUAAUCUUCUCCCCUUAUGUGUCGUUUUCCUUUUCCCAUUCAUUGCACACAUGAAAGAAAUAACAAAACUUCUGAUAGUUCUUCACCUCGUCUUAUCCCAAAUCAUUUUCAAUGGGGUUUCAAUGUCAAUUAACAUUUUAAAUACCUAGUUUCUUCAUCUUCUUCUCUUCUUUUUUACUUAUGGAGUUAAGGGUUUUUGGGUUUAUACUUUAAACUCAUAAGUUGAAGGGCAAAAUACAUUUCAUCUAUUUCCAAAAAAAAUGUUGUCUAUGUUAGACAACCAGUAUGAGUUCAUAUACAGGUCUUUUAAAAAAUUAAUGUGUCGGUACAUAAAAAUAUACAAAAGGAAUGUCUUUCAUAAAUAUAAUAUUUAACAAAAAUUAUGUCUUUCAUAAACUUUCAACAUUUUAAAUCAAAAUAGAAUUAGGUAAUAAGUAUACGAAAUUGAGAAAUAUUAUGAUACAAAGAUGAUAUAUUUAUAUAACAGGACUCAGGAAAUAACAUUAAUAUAAUAAACUAUAAAAAAAAAAGUAUAUAAAGUAUGAUAGAAAAACUAUCCACAUAAUAAUAAAAAAAUAGAAUGAGAAAAUCUAAUUUUUAUAAUUAGUAAAAGCCAAAAACAUACUUAUUUAUCUGAGCACAGAUACGUAUCCAAAAAGUAUCUAUAUAUUUUCAAAUGAAAUACUCAAAUUUAUAUUUUAAAAAUUAAUUAUUGUUUUUUUAAGUUAUAUUUUAAAAAUUAAUUUUAGUACGUACAAGAUACUUAGCUUUAAAUAUCAUAUAAAUUAAUACCAGAUACAAAUACAAGUAACCACACAUUUGUUGGGUAUCCAUCCUUCAGAGUAUAAAAACCAAAGUUUGGUAUUUGGUGAAAUAUGACGGGAUUAAAUUAUAUGGUGUACUUUUGUACCCAAAAAAAUAAAAAUUAUGGCGUAUUUACAUUCAAUCUAACCCUCGCACAUAUCCAUUUUCAAAUUUCAUUAUUACUUUGUUCUUUUAGUUCUCGGUUUAGAUUAUGCGACCGUGAUAACAGUGCAUUAAAAUAUGAAAUUGCACAUUUAUCUCGUAAAUAAUUUUAUUUUCACUUUAAUUAAGUAACACACAUAAAAGAGGUCCAAUAAAAUUCUCACAAAUUUUCUUUUAUUUUCUCUCUAUUAUAACUGUUCGAUGCAUGAGUUUUCCUUCAAAUACAUAUUUGAGUGCUGGUAAUUUUUUGAAGCAGAUAUGGGACAUGUACUUUUAGUACUUAUCGAAAGAUACCUUUUAUCGUCUCUAAUCAAUAUGCAUUUCGUAAAGAUAUCUAGUUAUAACUCGGAGCAAUUAUAUAUAGAUUAUACAAAAAGCUCUUUUAAGAAUUUAUAUAAAAAUAAAUAAAAGAGUAAAACAAUAUUUUUGUAUAUAUCAUUCUUACACAGUGAGAGAAAAUGAGAGAGAAAACGAGAGAAUCUUAAUAGAUGAUAUGUUUUUUUCUGGAGAAUCUUAAUAGAUGAUAUGUUUUUUUUGACAAAAAACCUAUUUUAUUGUUGUUGUUCAUAGAUGUUAUUAAUAAUACCAACUUUGAUAAUAUAUAUAAAAUUGAUUUGAUAAUUAAGAUAAGACAAUUAAGAAAUUGAUUGAUAAAAGAGAUUGCCGAUUGGUUGAUUUGAUAAUUAAGAUAAGAGAAUUAUGAAGUUGUUGAAAAAAAAAAUAACACAAACUUUGACAGAAAAUCAUACAGCAUUUAAAUUUGGCUCUUUGUUUAUUUUGUUUCCGCAAAAGGUACAUGACUCGAGUAACUUUACACAUAACAAAAGGCAUCUAAGCCUUCAUUUUCUUAUUCAUAAUUUGCAUGAUUAUUCCUUUAUUCAUAUUGAUUUGGUACCAAAUCUAAGCUGCUGCUUUGUUGUCUGAGUCACUGCGGGGUGGAACAAGAAAUGAAAAGGGGCUGUUGAACUUGAGCUGCCUGGCCUCAUUUCUUUCCAUAUUGAAAGCAGCUGCAACAACUUCUUCUGGCAUACCAUUUAUCAAGGAAGAUGCUCCUAAAAGCCUGCCAAUAGCUGCUCUGUCAUUGGUCUUGAAUGCUACAUAUGAGAACCUGUCACUCAAUGAUUUUGCAGCUAUUGCAAAGUUUUGUGGCACUAUCAACGCCCGGCCAGCUUCUAGUUCCCCAUCAAACACACUGUUGCCUUUGCAGUUCACAAUUUGUAAUCUUGCACGUCCCUUCAAUGCAUAAAGUAUGCUGUUUGCAUUGAGGUUGUAGUGAGGCACAAACAUAGCAUUCUGUUACAUAUAAAUAGACAAACAAGUGAGUUACUUAUAUUCUAACACUUCCAAAUUCCAUUAAUGUUGAUAUGAAAAGAUUGUUUGAUAUAAAAUUAAGUCAUGAAAGACAUUAGGUUUCAUGGUUUGGUCUAGUGGUAAAAAGACCUACAUGUUGUAGGUUCAAUCUCUGCUAGUGUCAUUGGAAGUUGGCAAAUGUAAAUGCAUCAUCUUUUUUUAUAAAAAAGAGAAAUGACAUACUUUGUGGAGAGAUCCAAACUCAGCACUGAGUUUGAGAAACCUGAGAGCUGGAAGGUCGAAGCUGGUAACAGUUUUGAUUCUACCAGCUUGAGGGUUGUAGAUGUCAGGUGAUGAAGAUGAGCCAAUGUUCUGGUGAAGUCUUGCAGUGCAAAUGGUUUCCUCAAACCCAUUGUCUCUUUGGCUUUUGCUUCCACCUCUGCUGUGGCGGCGUGGCUGUCUCUUUUCAUCUUCGUCUUCAUCUUGUCUGCUGUGGCGGUGUGGCUGUCUCUUUUCAUCUUCAUCUUCAUCUUCCUCUUGUCUGCUGCCUCUCUUUUGACGUGGCUCCUUCUCUGGUGGAGUGAUGAUGCUAAGACCUCCUUUCACUUUGACAAUGGCUCCCUUCUCCUCAUCUUCGUUCCUACCUUGAAGUUUGUUCACUAUACGCCUGUUCACGUUCAAGGCAUCUUCCAAGAAAUCCCUCUUGAAGCCACUGAAAAUGUUGCCACCUUCAUUUUCCUCUUCUUCACUUCCUUCCUGCUGNNNNNNNNNNNNNNNNNNNNNNNNNNNNNNNNNNNNNNNNNNNNNNNNNNNNNNNNNNNNNNNNNNNNNNNNNNNNNNNNNNNNNNNNNNNNNNNNNNNNNNNNNNNNNNNNNNNNNNNNNNNNNNNNNNNNNNNNNNNNNNNNNNNNNNNNNNNNNNNNNNNNNNNNNNNNNNNNNNNNNNNNNNNNNNNNNNNNNNNNNNNNNNNNNNNNNNNNNNNNNNNNNNNNNNNNNNNNNNNNNNNNNNNNNNNNNNNNNNNNNNNNNNNNNNNNNNNNNNNNNNNNNNNNNNNNNNNNNNNNNNNCUCGUGGUUUCCAGCAAGAUAGAAUCUCUGUCAAUCAAAAUCAAACAGUUAUUAAUUCCAAUUUCUUUCACGUGAAUUAAGUUUAAUUAUAUUAUGCUCACCCUAGGCAUCUGAUCAAGCUGGUUUUGGAAGCUGCUGGUGUCAAUAAGAGAAACAGCAAUAACUGGAGUGUCUUGAUCAUUGAACAUCCAAAAUACAACACCAGUAGGAACUGCAAUGAUAUCACCCUCUCUGAAGCGGUUAACCUUUUGGUGACUGUCUCUAAACUUGCUUCCCUCUCCUUGUUCAGAUUCACGUGGCUCCUCAAAAGUCUCAACACAACCAGGGAAUACCAUGCCAAAAUAUCCAUUACCUGUAAUUGUUAUAGCAAAAUAUUAGCCACUACUAUAUAACAUCACUAAUAUGUAUGUAAAAAAAAUGUAAUAAGAUCAAAAUAAGGAACCUUGUUGGAUGAAAAUUUCCUGGGGAGCGUUGGUGUAGAAAGGUCUGCGGAGGGAAUUUGGUUGAAGGGUAGCACGAGAGAGGGCCACACCGGCACAUCGGAAUUGCUUGUUGCUUGGGUUCCAAGUCUCAAUAAGUCCACCUUCUGACUUUAUACGGUUAUCAGGUUCAAGGGCAUUGAGGUGUUCAAGCUGACACUCAUUUUGUUCAGGUUGAUCUCUCAAAGCAAAACAGCUACCAAAAAGUAGAAAACAAAAUGAAAGAGAGAGUGCAAGAAGCUUAGCCAUGAUGACAGAUAUUGAAAAGAAUGUUGGUUUGUGAUGCGGAGAACCUUAAUGAGAAGUGGUUAUUUAUAGGGAAAAUAGGUUGGCGAAGGAUGGACACGUCAAAGAAGGUGUGGAGCUGAGCAUUAGACAUUCUUCAGCUUGCAUGGGUAUGGAAGCCUUGUGCAUUACACCUAUGUCUGAUAGAGCAAGGUGGCUUUCAACAUAUCCAUAAUCCAACAAAAAGCAUGCUUGUUUGUAUUGCAAUUCUUGCCUAGGCAUUAUUAUUAGUUUAAAUCGGUGGGGGAGGGGGGACCAUGGCUCCAUUUUGUUUUCUUCCCUGCUUCUCUCUUUCAUAUCUGCAAAGAUUUACGAAGAACAUUAAUCCUUAAAAUAUAUGUGUAAUUACAUAGUGCUUGAUAAACAUUUUACUUUUUACAUUUAAAAUGAGUUUACUCUAAAUAAGUCAAAAUCUAAUGUAAUAAUAACCACUUUUUGAAAUAUCAAUUUCAAUUUUUUAAAAUUUGUUCCAUAUAUUGAUAAACUUUUCAGAUUUUUUCGGGUCGUAAGUUUUUAAUACAUGUGCUUGACUCACUACAAAGAAUUGGUCCGUGACCCAUAUUAACUUAGUUCUUCGAAUAUGAUUUGGGUGAUGCCAUGUUUUCUCUUCUCCCACGUAUAAAAGAUCUACCCAAUUCAACUGCUACACCCCAAUUCUUCUCAUCAAUGAUAAACUUAAAUCAGUGAACUAGUGAGCAAUGGAUUACAAGGGUAGAAAUCAAUGAAUAAAGGACUCUGCAUCAAUAUUCAUUUGGCACAUAUAUAGAAUUCCCAGCCAUUUAACUAGCUUUUAAAAAUGCAAGGCAACUAUGUCACGUCAAACACAAUCAACGUUGAUUUUUAAAUUAUCCUGAGUCAGAUAAUAGGCCUAUUUAUAGAUAUUCAUGGACCUGAAAUUCUUUCUCUGCUACUUAAAUAAAUAAUAAUCAAAGGUAGAAGCAAUGUAUUGAGAAUAAAAAAUGCAUAAAAUGUAAGGGUGUAAUCUGCCUUUCCUUCAAAUGAUUCUACAGAAAUUAUUUCGGUGGCCGUUCAAUCAUUGUAAAAACCAAAGAGGGAAGAGUUGGCGGGAAAAACUGUAAACACUGUACGUUUACCGUUUUUAUCGUGGAUUUGAAUUUUUUUCUAAUUAGAUGAAUACUUUUUUAUCUUAACUAUUUACUUUUUACCAUGAUAAUCUAAAGUUCAUUCGAUACAUAGAGCUUGGCAUCAAAUCAAAUAGUACCCAAACAAUUCAUCAAUCUUAACACAAAUACAUUAACCAUUGGCACAAAUUACGUCCACUUGGUUAAUAGUAGAUGAACAUGACAAAAACAAAAGAUGAGUGACAGAAGGGCAAUUUGCGGAACUCGUCAAUUUUUUAAUAAACAUAGCCCUGUAAAUUUUUUUAUAACGAAAGACAAUACAAGACAAACCAGCUUCUACACACGAUCUGCCAUAAACAAGUUCCCAAAGAAAAGGGAAGAAUCCCAGUCCCUUUGCGUCCAUUAUGAAGCAUAGAUCAUGUUAUUUAGGCUAAUGCUUGUGACGAGGCGUAUCAAACAUUAGCAAAUUGAUGCGCACAGAACAUGGUAGGUUUAACCAAUCAGGGAAUAUAAAAUAAUAGAGUACUCCAUCACUAAACAGGCCUUAUUAAUCUGAAGACGAACAAAGUGAGAGCUUUUACAAGAAAAAAUCACAUUAACAUUAUGAUGAACUACCAUGAUCUCACAAGGAUUAAAUGUCACAAUCCUCGGGAUAUAAUCACCCUUGUAGAAGGAACUAUAGGUUAUAAUUUAUAAAUAAUACAUGCCUACACGAUAUGGACAAUAACAAAUUACAAUGCUAGAAGAAACAAUGAAACAUGCAACCUUCAAUUUUCUUAUUCGGUAGUAUUACUCUUCAAGCUAGAUUCCCCGUUCUUCUCUUCAGUGCUAUCCACUAUUUUGGUUUCAACAUGACCAUCCCCCUUGGUUGCAUUGCCAUCCACUUCAAGAGUGUUUGACUUUUUCGGCAGUUUUCGAUCAAGACUCUGAGCAGCUUCCAACUCUUCAGAUUCAUCACCUUCACAUCUUUCAUUGGGGUUUUGAACAGCUUCGGCAUCAUGCUUGGCAGUGUCAGCAUUUUGUGUUAGUUGUGCCCCUGAACUUUGAGAAGCUUCCAACUCUUCAUACUUAGAAACCAACUGCUGCAGCUCGUCAUUGAGAUAUAAAGCCUCAAAAAGUGUUUCUUCAUCAUUUGUGGUGCUUUCCACAAUCUCCUUAAUAACAGAGAGUGAUUGCUUGCACUUAUCCAGCAGACUCAAAGUUAUAUCUUCCUGGAACCAAACAAAAUCAUUGUACAUUCUAUCAGCAAAAAAAUUAUUCCUAUUUCUUAGCUGUAUACUGAUGUAGCAAUAACCUAGAUGAGCUGGGAAGAUAAGAGAUAAAAAAAAAAUCCAUCUACAUUGUAUCUGCAUAAGAAUACUAUAGUAUUUUGCAUAGAAAAGCAUGUAACUGAUUUAUGAUAGUUCUUUAAAAAUCUGUGCAAGAACUACUUCAUACAUACAGCAAACAUCAUGAUGCAGUAAACAAAACAACAAUCUAUUGUUCAGGUGAUGCUGUAUUUCUUUAAUUUAAAAAAGUUUACCUUCAAAGGUUUUGGCUCUGCCUCAGAACUUAAUAUGCUAGAGAGCAAUUCAAGACUGUUUCGAGCAACCACAAGAUGCUCUUUCUUCUCUUCCACUGAUACAGGUUGGUGAUCAGUAAAGAAAGCUGCUGAGUCAUCCAGAGCAAGAGCAUGUAGCCCUGCUUCUGGAAUUGGGUAUCUUUCAGGGGGGUCUAAAGGGUGUUGAUAAUUAUGUGACUCUGAGGCAUAUGGAAUAGGUGGUGAGUUUCCUCCCGUCAUGUCAAGUGAUUCACCCCUUCCUUUCAAACUCUGUCAUCAAUGAGAAGAAUAUAGGACUUAAAUUAAAUGAGGAAGAAAAGGAAGCACAAGAAUACGUCAUAGUAAAAAUAAAAAAUAGACGGCACCACAUUCGAAAGAGUAGACAAUAAGUAAGAUCGUGAAGCACAAUGUAGGAAUUCGCUUCAAGGCCAACAUUUUGUAAAAAAUAACCCAAGGUCACCUGGGAAAUGCUAUUUUCACAAAGUAUAAUUCUGCAAACAAAGUCUAGAAGCUACACAUAUAACAAUAAAAUCAAGUACGAAAAACAAUAAGGUUACCAUUCAAAGAUAAUUUGAGGCCAAUGAUAUUUGCUUCCCUUAAACUAUUAAUACCCUUCAAUGAAAUUUUGCUUAAACAAAUUUCAAUCAAGUUUUUUGGGACCUGUCAUUUGAAUUAUUUGGGAAAGAAAAUAGAUGGUAUAGAGUUGUAAAGAUAAGUUUUGCAUUUGAAAUAAGAUAAAGUAAAAUGGAGUGAAUAGAAUGCAAAUUCAUCUAGAUAAAUCCUAAGACAAGCUUGGAGGCCAAAAUUGGAAAUCUUACCAAGCCAAAAAUUCAGUGUGGUGGGUACCUUGAGUCCAUCAUAAAAAUAUCGAAGAAAUAGGAUAAAUAUAAAUCGUAAUACUCAACCUAGGCAGAUAAAAUGAAAAUGCUUCAACAGCCUUCGUGUUCGACAUUGCCUUUUAAGAUUAAUUAAUGAAAACUUACCGCACGGUCAUAAAACCAACAAUGAAAACAUGUUAAGUGUUAUGAUAUGAAAAAUAAAACAACAAAUUAGUGGUUAUACAAGACAAGACGGGAUUAGGAAUAAAAGCACUAGAGAGAAAGUUGUGACAGCCACCGUCUACUGUAAAAAAGACAGUUGGUCUUAUUGUGGUUUGGACAUGUGUUGAGCAGACAUUGGAAAAUAUCCCACUAAUUAGAGGUAGAAAGAAACGAAGCAAAACAAUAAGCUACAAUCAAGAAAAAAUGGAACUAUACGAUCAAUAAUUCUAUAUCACAGAGCAUGAUUCAUGACAGGACAAGACUUAAUGACAUCAUUUAAUCCAUGUAACCGAUCCCACCUAAUGGGAAAAGGUUUUGAUUGUAAUUGUUAGUGUUGUUUUUGUCACAAAGCAAACAAUGCCUUCUGGUACUGAUCGUCAAACAGUAAUGCCGCAAUGAAUACAUACAAGAAAAAUUAGUACAAUUGUGUAUAUGAUGAUUUUCCAUAUCAGAAAUUCAGAAUAAGACCGAUAGAAAUGCCAGUAGAGAACUUUAUUAGACCAAGGAUAGUCUAAUAAUCAGAUAUAUAAAGGAAAACAAAAAAAAAUCUAAAUGAAACCAUUGAAAAGUACUUAGAUCUAUAUAGCUACUUUUAAGUAAUAUGUACUAGGUGUGUGGCAAACCACAAUGGAAAUGCAAUUAUUUAAAUAAAUAAGUUUGCCUACAAUAGACCCACAAUGCCUGGGUCCAAUCCUUACCUCUUUAAAUAGAACAUCCUCUCAUUAUAAUUCUAACUGAUAACUAACCUACUAAAGGAAACUCUAUGUUUUCCCCCUUAGUGUGACCACAAUACACAUACUCUGAUACAGCUCUGUUAUUGACCAGCAUACAUAUAAUACAGACACAACCCUAACACCAAUAAUAAUUUCAGAAAAUAGAAUUGAUUGAAUGAAAUUUUAUGCGUCAGUCAGAGUUGUGUCCAUGUGUUAGUGUGUCGGUCUUCAGACAUUGAACACACCUUAUGAACUUUUUUAUUUAUAGGCAAAUGUUAUUAAAUUAGUGGUUAUCUAUGAAGCACAUAUAAUGACACUACACUAAUCAGUCGAGAAAAUAAAUAAUUAAUUGAAUGUAAUCAAUAUGUGAGUGUCAUAUUGUGUUAGACACGAAGACUCGAGUGUGGGUGGUUAUGUUAGUUCCCGAGACCUCUUUUUUAAUUACCUGAAGUGUUGGUGAUACAUAGCUAACGUAUUGUAAGACUGAAUUGACC